AUUUAAUACAUUAACAAAUUUUCUUUCCAACAGCUUUUGUUCAUGAGAUUCAAGCACAAGGUGAGUCAUCGAUGUUCCACUUUUCACAUAGAUUUUCUGUGACUGCGUAUUUGUUUUUUAUUUAAACCAAAAAUUACUUUCAGGUUCAUAAUAAUAGUCAUGAAACUGAGUAUUAAAUAUAACAGAACUGCUUUUAAUGUCACAUCAGAGUUCACCUGCUGAAGUUAAAGUGAGAUGUUUUUACACUGCAGAAAUAAAUUCAACGUCUGCUGACAGUGAACCAUCCUCCAUCACCAUACAAAGUGAGAGACUGCUCCUCCUGUGACUGGAUAAGUUAUCAUACAGUGUGUUAGACAUGUUUAUCUUUAUAAAGCUGCAGGUUUUCUUUGAGAAAAUCUUUUUAGGAGUGUUUUUCUUACAUAUUUUCUUACACCACCAAAGACAGCACACAGGAUUCUAAACGUGACCAGUUACAGUUAAUUAGAAAAUACAAUGACUGUUACAGCUCAGCUUUUAUGAGCAUUGUUUUUGUUGCACUGGUAAAACAUGCAAUAUUCUUGCAUAUUAAUGAGACUCCAUUGAUCUUCAUACAGGUCAGAAACCACAGAUGAGUGUGCAGCAUUUUAAUGGAGAACAAGUUCAGUUUGUUUGCUCUCUGCCUGGAUCUGUGAAAUACAAUACAAGAUGUAAUCUGUACUUUGGAGAAGCAAGUCGUCCAGUCCUGACAGCAACUGUCUGGAAGAAAAGCAGCACAGAAACCAAACAGAGGUUCUGCCAGUUUUAUGUCUCAAUUGAUGAUUUUUUGAGACAUCUACAUUUUGUUCAACAAAAAGAAGCCAGCUGUGAUUACACUUUGAAAAGGGAACCCAGGUCUUUGUCUCCUCGCAGUGAUCAAUACAACUUAACAGCUAUUCUGGAAAGUGAAUCACCAAAGAUCAACAAACCGCCAUCUAUCAUGACCACAGAUUCAAGUCUCAACAAACCCAGUGCUUCAACUUCUACCACUUCAGUGAACUCACUGUCAGGUACAGUGUUAUGGUACGGACAUACACCAAGAAACACCAUUUGGCAUUUCAUUCCCUUUACUUGGUUUGAAUAAUGUAAUAAAAAAAGAAGCAUGAAUUUCUUUACAGAGAAUAGCAGCAUAUGUGACAUUAUAGUAUUUAUUUGAUAUUGUUCUAUCUUAAAGGAUUUGCUGCUCUUAAUCUGAGCCCUACAACUGGUGUGAACACUCCUAUCAAAACAACUCAGUAUAAAACAUCAGGAGACAGUACCACAGGUGAGACCGAGUGCAUCGAUAAUGUCAAGAUAAAUUGAAAUGUCCUUGUUUUAUUUCAGCAGGACAGACACUGAUCUAUUGACCAUGCAUACAAUGAGUGUGAUUAAAUUCUCAGAAUGUUAAAAAAAAUCUCAACGUUCACUCUAAAAUUCUGAUGUUCAUCAGGAACAGUAAAUAUUCACCAUGUUCAGCAUCUUAAAUAAAUGGCAGUACUUUGUCACCAGUUGAUGUUGAAAUGAAGUUACUAAUUUUGCUGGCACUAACCUUUAGUCUCCAACACUGAUGCAAAUCACCAGAUGCAUUUUAUCUGGAGAUAUUUUGUGUGUUUAAUAUUCUUUAUUAUGAAUAUUCAUGAUCAUAGUUGUUUUUUUAAACUGUAGAUAUUUUGGGAAGAGAAUCAAGAAUGGCCAGUACAAAAGUGGCAUUUAGUCUGGCCACUGAUAGGACAUACAAUACAUUGAAAUACAGUCCAGAACAUCAUCACACACAACUUCUUUAAAGAAACUCAUUUUUUGUGCAUUUUUUGAAACCGAUUCUCGAGUUUCAGCAGUCCUAGUGUUUUCAGUCUUACCACGUCUGUGAAUUCAUCUUCAGGUAACUGCAUGGACAGUAAUAGUGUAAAAUAUCUUCUACAAAUAUAUUUCUACAUUAAUGCAAACCAACUCAAAAAAAAAAAAAAAGCAAACCGACACUCAGCAAUUGCAGUAUAUGUUAUUUAAAACUGAUUUUGCAAAAGCACUUUACCUAACAACCUUAGGCAGCUUUUUUAAAUUUUGAUCCAAAUAUUUUUUUUUCUAAACAGAUUCAUACAAGACUAGUGCUACAGUGACAGUUACUACAGUCAAAAGUAAGACAAAGUACAAUAAAAGAAUAACCAGAAUAUUAUAAAAGUCAUCUAUUUUAUUUUUUAUUUCAAAAGUACAUUUUUUUCACCAGGUCCAACUUUUACUUGGUGUCAUACUUCCACCCAUGCCACUGCUACCUCAGGUAUCUUUUUUUUUUUUUUUUUAAACAAAAUGGUAACAUACACUAUAUUACCAAAAGUGAAUCUUACUCAGAGCCUAUUGUUAGUCAGUGGUGCUAGUUUCAGUCAUUAUACAGAUGUACUGUUUAUAAGGUUGGGGAAACCUUUAUCACAGUAGAUGUCUUUCUGAAAGCGCUGUAACUAAGUUUAAGAAUAUAAUCC
rnacentral:lncRNA from 1 species